AGAGAGAAUCGCAGCAUCUUGAUGUUUUAAAUGGCUUCAACGAGACUUUUGGAGACAUCCACAUGUAGGGGUGAGCUACACGGCUAAAUUGCCGACAGACGUGCAGAGACGACGCUGGACGGCUUUUUGUUUCGUGUCAGAGAGAUGAUUCUGAGAAGUAGUUGACCUGAGGAAGCAGCUUGAGGAGGUUUCUUAGUUCCGUCUCCCCUCUUUGUUUCUAUUGCUUUAACUGAAACGGUCCAGUUCAUGAGGCCGCCGCGUCUCGCUCCAUUUUGUGGCAGCUCAGCGCAGCGCAGAGCUGAGCUGAGCUGAGCUGAGCUGCUCCGCUCCGGGCUGCAGGACCUGCUGGGCUCAGAACUCCUAAAGUUCGCAGUAAAUCCCUGGUGAAAUGUGAAUUUUUAUGAUGGCUGAAAACUCAGAGAGCACAUCCUGUUUCCAUGAUGUCAGCGCAGGAAGUAAGAGCCACCUGCUAGCUGGGAUGCUCAUCAUUCAAGGUUGAGCCCGGCUCGCCAUCUUCCUCUGCAUCUCCUUGAUGUAAAGCCUCUGGCGGAGGCAAACCUGGUGGUUCAGGAUUCUUAGAAGCUGCUGCCAACAUUUGGUGUAAAUUGGAAAUGAAUUUUGUAGUCAUACCUCUGCUACGGCUAAACCAACCAGAACACCAGUCAUCCUGUGGGGUGACAUAGUUGUGCUCUCAUCAGGUGCUGGUGAUUGGCUCUGGAAGAAGUGUGGAACAUGUCAGGAACAGGAAUGGCAAAAAGUCUGUGUUCAAAACCUAAACAAUAUUUAAUAUUGUCAUGCAACACUUCAAAGACACAGGCUGACCAGAGGGAUGAUGACAAUCUAAUCUGGAAUGUGGUGAUCUCACAUUCUAAGAAUGAAACGCAGAGAACAGAGGAUACAUCAGCAUUAACGGGCUGUUUGUCUCCCACCCACUUCACCCCGUCUCUCCCCAACCUUUGACCUCUGCAUCUCCACCCCUCCCCCCAAGCACACAGAAAGCGCUGCUCACGUGCUCUUCUGAAGAGGGGAAGAACGAUGAAAAAAAUCAGUAAAUUAUCAUUGAAUAUGUUACAUGUAGCAAUGAAGUAUCUUUAUUCUUAACAAAUAAAAGCAACAUUUUAUCUUUGUGUUAA